GGACUACACGGGUAUCUAAUCCUGUUCGCUCCCCUAGCUUUCGCGCCUGAGCGUCAGGACAGGCCCAGAGAUCCGCCUUCGCCACCGGUGUUCCUCCCGAUAUCUGCGCAUUUCACCGCUACACCGGGAAUUCCGAUCUCCCCUACCUGCCUCUAGCCCGACAGUUUCGAAUGCAGUUCCACGGUUGAGCCGUGAGAUUUCACAUCCGACUUACCGGGCCGCCUACGCGCGCUUUACGCCCAAUGAAUCCGGACAACGCUCGCCCCCUACGUCUUACCGCGGCUGCUGGCAC
rnacentral:rRNA from 1 species